rnacentral:rRNA from 1 species
UUCCGGUUGAUCCUGCCGGAGGCCACUGCUAUUGGGAUCCGACUAAGCCAUGCGAGUCGAGAGGGUUCGGCCCUCGGCAGACUGCUCAGUAACACGUGGAUAACCUACCCUUAGGUGGAGGAUAAUCUCGGGAAACUGAGAAUAAUACUCCAUAUAUCUAGGAUGCUGGAAUGCACCUAGAUUGAAAGCUCUGGCGCCUAAGGAUGGGUCUGCGGACUAUCAGGUUGUAGUCAGGGUAAAGACCUGACUAGCCUACGACGGAUAUGGGUUGUGAGAGCAAUAGCCCAGAGACGAUAUCUGAGACACGAUAUCGGGCCCUACGGGGCGCAGCAGGCGCGAAAUCUUCACAAUGUGCGAAAGCACGAUGAGGGGAUCCCAAGUGCUGGCACGUAAGUGUCAGCUGUUUCUUUGUCUAAAAAACAAAGAGAGUAAGAGCUGGGUAAGACGGGUGCCAGCCGCCGCGGUAAUACCUGCAGCUCAAGUGGUGGCCGCUAUUAUUGGGCCUAAAACGUCCGUAGCCGGUUUAGUAAAUGCUUGGGUAAAUUGUGUAGCUUAACUAUACGAAUACCGGGUAGACUGCUAAACUUGGGACCGGGAGAGGCUAGAGGUACUCCUAGGGUAGAGGUGAAAUUCUGUAAUCCUAGGGGGACCACCAGUGGCGAAGGCGUCUAGCUAGAACGGGUCUGACGGUGAGGGACGAAGCCCUGGGGCGCAAACCGGAUUAGAUACCCGGGUAGUCCAGGGUGUAAACGCUGCUUGCUUGAUGUUAGUUGGGCUCCGAGCCCAACUAGUGUCGGAGAGAAGUUGUUAAGCAAACUGCCUGGGAAGUACGGUCGCAAGACUGAAACUUAAAGGAAUUGGCGGGGAGCACAGCAACGGGUGGAGCGUGCGGUUUAAUUGGACUCAACGCCGGAAAUCUC